GGUUAAAUCUAUGCGCUUAACGUAUAUGCCGCCGAAAAUACUGGACAGCUAGGGAGUGGGAGAGGUACACGGUACUCAAUAGGAAGGGGUAAAAUCCUUUGAUCUAUUGAUGACCACCUGUGGCGAAGGCGGUGUACCAGAACACGUUCGACGGUGAGGGAUGAAAGCUGGGGGAGCAAACCGGAUUAGAUACCCGGGUAGUCCCAGCUGUAAACGAUGCAGACUCGGUGAUGCAUUGGCUUGUGGCCAAUGCAGUGCCGCAGGGAAGCCGUUAAGUCUGCCGCCUGGGAAGUACGUACGCAAGUAUGAAACUUAAAGGAAUUGGCGGGGGAGCACCACAAGGGGUGAAGCCUGCGGUUCAAUUGGAGCCAACGCCAGAAACCUUACCCGGGGCGACAGCAGAAUGAAGGUCAAGCUGAAGACUUUACCAGACAAGCUGAGAGGUGGUGCAUGGCCGUCGCCAGCUCGUGCCGUGAGAUGUCCUGUUAAGUCAGGUAACGAGCGAGACCCCUGCGUCUAGUUGCUACCAUUACUCUCUGGAGUAGUGGAGCGAAUUAGACGGACCGCCACAGUUAAUGUGGAGGAAGGAAGGGGCCACGGCAGGUCAGUAUGCCCCGAAACCCUGGGGCCACACGCGGGCUGCAAUGGUAUUGACAAUGUGUUCCGAAUCCGAAAGGAGGAGGCAAUCAUCAAACGAUACCUCAGUUAU
rnacentral:rRNA from 1 species